GCAAAUUACCCACUCCCGGCACGGGGAGGUAGUGACGAAAAAUAACGAUACGGGACUCAUCCGAGGCCCCGUAAUCGGAAUGAGCACACUUUAAAUCCUUUAACGAGUAUCCAUUGGAGGGCAAGUCUGGUGCCAGCAGCCGCGGUAAUUCCAGCUCCAAUAGCGUAUAUUAAAGUUGUUGCGGUUAAAAAGCUCGUAGUCGGACUUGUGUCACACGCUGCCGGUUCACCGCCCGUCGGUGUUCAACUGGCAUGCACGUGUUGACGUCCUGCCGGUGGCCCGAGCCGGUCAGGGAUUUCUGGGUGCGGGAUUCCCUUCGGGGGCCCGCCCCGAACCCUGUAUUUGGGGAGGGCCUACUCAUACCCGUCGCGGUGCUCUUAACCGAGUGUCUCGAUGGGCCGGCACGUUUACUUUGAACAAAUUAGAGUGCUUAAAGCAGGCAGCAUCCGCCUGAAUACUGAGUGCAUGGAAUAAUGGAAUAGGACCUCGGUUCUAUUUUGUUGGUUUUCGGAAUCCCCGAGGUAAUGAUCAAUAGGGACAGACGGGGGCAUUCGUAUUGCGACGUUAGAGGUGAAAUUCUUGGAUCGUCGCAAGACGGACCGAAGCGAAAGCAUUUGCCAAGAAUGUUUUCUCUGAUCAAGAACGAAAGUUAGAGGUUCGAAGGCGAUCAGAUACCGCCUAGUUCUAACCAUAAACUAUGCCAGCCAGCAAUCCGCCGAAGUUCCUCCGAUGACUCGGCGGGCGGCUUCCGGGAAACCAAAGCUUUUGGGUUCCGGGGGAAGUAUGGUUGCAAAGCUGAAACUUAAAGGAAUUGACGGAAGGGCACCACCAGGAGUGGAGCCUGCGGCUUAAUUUGACUCAACACGGGAAACCUCACCAGGCCCGGACACCGGGAGGAUUGACAGAUUGAGAGCUCUUUCUUGAUUCGGUGGGUGGUGGUGCAUGGCCGUUCUUAGUUGGU
rnacentral:rRNA from 1 species